rnacentral:rRNA from 1 species
AAAAGGUGGCUAUGCUACCGCUUUUGGAUGGGCCCGCGGCGCAUUAGCUAGUUGGUGGGGUAAAGGCUUACCAAGGCAAUGAUGCGUAGCCGAACUGAGAGGUUGAUCGGCCACAUUGGGACUGAGACACGGCCCAAACUCCUACGGGAGGCAGCAGUAGGGAAUCUUCCACAAUGGGCGAAAGCCUGAUGGAGCAACGCCGCGUGGGUGAAGAAGGUCUUCGGAUCGUAAAACCCUGUUGUUAGAGAAGAAAGUGCGUGAGAGUAACUGUUCACGUUUCGACGGUAUCUAACCAGAAAGCCACGGCUAACUACGUGCCAGCAGCCGCGGUAAUACGUAGGUGGCAAGCGUUAUCCGGAUUUAUUGGGCGUAAAGGGAACGCAGGCGGUCUUUUAAGUCUGAUGUGAAAGCCUUCGGCUUAACCGGAGUAGUGCAUUGGAAACUGGGAGACUUGAGUGCAGAGGAGGAGAGUGGAACUCCAUGUGUAGCGGUGAAAUGCGUAGAUAUAUGGAAGAACACCAGUGGCGAAAGCGGCUCUCUGGUCUGUAACUGACGCUGAGGUUCGAAAGCGUGGGUAGCAAACAGGAUUAGAUACCCUGGUAGUCCACGCCGUAAACGAUGAAUGCUAAGUGUUGGAGGGUUUCCGCCCUUCA